CCUCAAUAUCACUUGUAUCAUCAAAGAUUGCGGAAACUCAUUACAUACGCUGAAUGGAAUGAUUGAGUAUUCAAACGAUACAACAUACCUGUCCGUUGCCAAAGUCAACUGCAUUGAAGGAUAUAGACUGAAGAAGGAACACAACAACAGCGUUACAGAGUAUAUUAACUGCACUGAAUACGGUCUCUGGCAGGUCUCAAAUGGAUGCGAACCUAAAGACUGUGGUCCACCACCAAGUGGCAAUCUAUCAACAGUGAACGCGCCGUUGUGGACGUUCAACUCAUCUGCAUGGUACACGUGUAACCAUGGGUACAGCACACAUAAUGACUCAACUAUUGUUUGUAAUGCAUCCGGGCUCUGGAGUGAUGAAGCAC